AGUAGGAUAGGCAGACAGACGCACAUGUCCCUAUUGGACAGCUAACCAAAGGACCGAACUGUCACAGCCAGCCCAGUUGGGCAGAGGGCUGAAAUGGCUAGCCCUGGGACUGAGACGUCCCAUUUGGGCUAAACGCACAGAGGUGACUGGCAAGACAAAACAACGGGCUGAUCCGACUCUAAAGUCGUGUGGGCUGCGUCGGAUCCAGUCCAGCAUGUUUGACUAGACUGAGUCAAAAAAAUCUCCCCAUCUAUGCAGAGACAGAGAAGAAAGACAGCAAAGAAGACACUCUUUGAGACGCCAGAGUAAGCAUCCAAAUGUGUGUGUCUGUGUGUGAGUGUGCGCGCGGCAGUCGACUUGGCAUCUUAGCCUUGACUGACGGAUCCUUAGAGAUUGUUACAAAUCUGUUGACCUUUGACCUCCCCACUGAGUUGUAAAAACCACACUCCAUUUCCCUUAAGACUUUAACAGCCUGCAGAAGAGGUGUGUGCGUAUGUGCGCGUGUGCAUUUGCCUCUGUCUGUGUGAGUGUGUGAGUGUGUGCGUGCCGCUGCGUGUGUGCGCGGUGUAACCCUGAGGUUAAAGAGCAAUCUGCAGCCAAUUAAGCGCUUCACUAGGAGGGCCCUGCUUCCAUGAAUGAGAGGAAUGCUCUCCGAGCUUAAGAGAGAGGGACUUGACUCAGUGCUUUGGAAGAAGUAUAUGGGAGUGUGUAUGUGUGUGUGUGGUAGCUGUGUGUCAUGGUUGAGACGUUUACAGUGCAGGUUUGUGUGCUGGUAACAAUUAAGUGUCAGGGAGCUAAUGUAAGGGUUUAAAAGUUCACCACAUACAGAAGACUGGUGCUGUAGAGAGCUUGAAAGCAGCAGGCCUGACCUCAAAUUUACCACCUACUGAGCCAAUCACAGAGCCACAAGCCUCUAAAGAACAACAGGUGUGGAGGGUAAAAGUUUACUAUGGUGUUGAUAUGCAUCAAUGUGUUUGUUUCCUACGGAGCCCCAGAAGGGACAUGGAGGGCGGGAAAAAAUUGAAAGUUGAAAAAAGAAAUAUUUUGCGAGACUUAAGAGAAACUUUUGCGACAUCUCUUUUUUUGUUCAUUUAGGGUCCCUAGAGAGGCGAAGUCCCGCCCCUUCUGGUAGACAACCAUGGAACCUUUUUUAAGAAAAAAUAUGAACGGUAGUCAACGGCGAGAGAUAAAUAUUUUUUGAUCCCGUUUGAAUUGCUUCAUCAUACACACAUAUGAUGUUAGUCAAUUUAAAACAUAAUUUUGCAGUAUCAGACUGUGAAAAUACAUCAUUAAAAAGACUACACACCAACAAGUCUAGUAAGUGACAUCUCUCUCUCUGAAGCUCCGAUGUUUUGUACUGGGAUGAACUCACACCAGCAUCGGGUCUCGCUCGUUCUUUUGCUUUCCGGCUGAUGAAAAAAACCAGGAGUCGCUGGAUAAAACACAUCAGCGUGAAACCUCUAUCCUGAGACAGGAUAGAAGCACCAGAGAAUCAUACAGUAUAUCACUAGUGAGUUCUCUUUAUAAAGUGUCGCGCCAUGCAAUCAACAGCAGGGAAACACCUGCAAUAAUGAUGAAAGAAUCCCCGUCUUUAACAGAAGACGCUAAAUGGAAUUCAGCCAAUUCAUUGUAUUACACCUGUGCUUUUCCUGCUGAGACGUGUCAAGAUGUCAGCGGGGGAAAAAAGGCCUAUUGUACACCGCAGCAUUCAAACCAAACACUUGCAAAAUGUUCCUAACUGUGUGUUUGUUAUUUGACAUUCUUCUUUGGUUGUGAUUUAGUCUUCGUUUUUAUGUGUCAGUUAGAUAAAGAAAAGAUAAAUACUGCCAUCUGUUAUAAGAAAAUCACAUUCAAAGCAUGAAAAAAGAAAAGUACACGGAACAAAGUGAGGAGAGGGAAGUGUAAAAGCAAAGAGGGCGAGGAUGGAGGGAGGCAGGAAGGAGGGUGAGGUCGAUGUCCACGCUGCACUCCUUCUCCCGCCUCCCACCACCCCCACUACCUGCACCUCCUCCCAGCAGCCCCUGCCAUCCAUCAGUGGGUGAGCAGAGAGGAUCGGGGCCCAGAGUAAUGAGCCGUAAGCCCCCUUACACGUGUUGACGCGCCGCUAAAUAAGAUCCAUUUACCUAGGCUACCGCCGCCGCGCCCCGCCGACGACUGGAGGAGAAUGCGCCGCCCUCUCCGCCAACCCCCGCGACGCGCCUCAAACACACCUCUUGUCACGCACAGUCGUGCACUUCUGUGUGUGUGUGUAAGCUUACUUCCUGUUCCUCCCCGGCUAGUGGUGUCUAUCUGUAAAUCUGUCUGUGUGCGUCUCGGUGAAAGAAUAUCUACGUGUUUGUGCUGCGAGUGUGUUACAGUGUUCCUGUGUGUGUGUAAGUGUGUGUGUGUGUGUGCCUGUGGGCAGGGAGGACGGCGUGGUGAUCCAGUUACUCAAGACAGACAGAAGCAAUCGUUCUCCAGUUACAGAGUUUUCUCCUAGACUUGAGGGCAUCACUGUCAAGUGUCGAGGCCAUCAGGGAAGUCUCGCUUUAGACGAUUACACUCAAUCUGGUUUGCGUGUGUGUGUGUGUGUGUGUGUGGGGGGGUGUGGAGGUGUGUGUGUGUGUCAUGGGAGGAGGACCAUAAUGUGACCUCCGCUGCUCUAGAUGGGCUACAUUGAGGAUGUGUUCCUUUAACAAUGAUUUUGCAGUUUUUGCAGUUUUCAAAAUUGUCCAAAAAAGUUCAUCUUCAGCUAUAUUACAGCCAAUAGAAACACUGACUGAAGGUCCAUUCACAGCGGUAUAUAAAGUGCGUGUCAUACUCGGCCCCUAUGUGAAAACCAGCCAGUGUGUACGGGAGCAAACACCGCUCAUACAAAGCAUCCUCACAUAACAAAGGAGGAGAAUGGUGAGAGACACGGAAACAGAAAGGGAUGGAGAGAAAGAAGAAAUGUUUGCAAAUCAUAGAGAGAAAAAAAAAAAGGU